rnacentral:snRNA from 1 species
GGUACGGACAAGGGGAAU